rnacentral:lncRNA from 1 species
GUCCUGAGGGUUUCUGGUAUUCGACCUUAACCUUGGCGCAACUAAGGCAUUUACUCACGAAGGUAGCAAUCUCUGCUUUCAUGUUAGGCCACCAAAUAGCUUUUUGAGAUCCAGAUACAUUUUCCUGAACCUGGGUGGAUAGAAUAUCGAGUGUUGUGCGCUUCCGUCAUGACCACGUCUCUAAAACCACCGUGUUUCAGUGUCCAGAUCCAAUCCAUGAGAUAUAAGGCUCCGCCACCCUUGACUUCUAAGUUUUUAUCCAUCCCUCUCAGGGAUACAUGUUACAUUUUCAGGUUCCAAGGCUUCUACCUGAGCCUCUUUAAUUUGUGUGGACAGGUGUGAAUGGAUAGUCAUAGUCAAUGUGAUAUGAUUCAUCUAAUAACAUUGUGAAAAUGGACCACUUGCAAAGGCGCGAGCUAUAAAGCAUUCAAUAAGGCUUUAAACGAGCUGAUUAGAGAAGUUUGUACUCAAGAAAGUGCAUGAAGACCCAUUUGACCCGAUUAAGGUUGGAUUACCAUAAUUCAAGUCCAAGAAAGAUUUACAAGACCCAAUAAGAGCCAUUAACAAGCCCAUUUCAAAUUUUUAUAAUUUAAUUAUGUAAUUUUCGUUUUUAUUCUCCUAAAUAAGUGAGUAGGAGUUGUAAGAGUCAUAUGUUACUUGAACCCUGCUCAUAAGUAUGUCUAGAUUCAUAGUUUUAAGUCAUGGAAUUUAAUGCCUUAAUGUUGAUUGAAUUAAAGUUGCAUCUUUAAUUCAUGACUUUUGAGGUGUCUCCAAAUCGCAUAUAAAUAGGUUGCUUAUGUUCUCAUUUUGAUCAAUCAAGUUUAGAAUAAAAACAAUGUGAGUUUUAUACUCUUUGUCGUUCUUUUUGGAACUUUAGGAACUUAUCAAGUUAUGUAACUUGUGGCGUUCAAAACUUAUCAAUCAACUUGGUGGGUUGGUUGUGGCGUUUCUAUACCAAGGUUCUUGUCUCUUUAUAGGCAAUGGGUCGCGGUUUCCACCAUCACAUUACAACAACCAAUAGAACGAUCGGGCAAAGUGUGUUCAAACCUAGUUUUCGGGUGAGAUCACAUCAUUUGGUAUCAGAGCCAGAUCUAUUGGUUUGCAUAUCCCUUUUUUUUUUUUUUUUUAUCUUUCUUAUUCUCGAUUACAUGGAAUUCAAGAUACACGUAUUGGUAAUGGGUCUUGUCACAGGUUGGCAUGGUUCUUACUAGUGUUUAUUGAAUAUCUAAGUUUUCAUCUCCUCAUCUAUAUUUCUUUUUAUUGAAUCAAGGUUCAAGUAUUAAUAGUGGGUCAUAUCACAAGUUGGUGUGGUUCCUAUUAUUGGGUUUUGGUUCAAGUUUUCUUAUUUUUUUUCUUGUAUUUGUUGAAAAGAAAAAAAAAUCGAUGAAAAAGAAUGUUCGGAAAAAAAAUAGAAUAAAAAAAAGAAAAGAAAAAAAAUGUGAAGAAAGAAGAUGAAGAGAAAAGAAAAAAAAAAGAAAGAAAGGGAAAAUGAAAAAAAAAAGAGAGAGAAAGAGAGAAAGAAUAAAAUUCCAAGUACAACUUUUUUUUUUUUUUUGCAUGAUGAACCAUAUUGAAAAAAAGGAGAAUGAUAUGAGAUGAUUCGAGUACAAACAAAAUGCUCAACAUUAUUUAGAUUCGAGGUCGAAUCAUCUUCAAGAAAAGGGGAAUGAUAUGAUUCAUCUAAUAACAUUGUGAAAAUGGACCACUUGCAAAGGCACGAGCUAUAAAGCAUUCAAUAAGGCUUUAAACGGGCUGAUUAGAGAAGUUUGUACUCAAGAAAGUGCAUGAAGACCCAUUUGACCCGAUUAAGGUUGGAUUACCAUAAUUCAAGUCCAAGAAAGAUUUACAAGACCCAAUAAGA